rnacentral:rRNA from 1 species
UACGGAGGGUGCAAGCGUUAUCCGGAUUCACUGGGUUUAAAGGGUGCGUAGGUGGGCAGUUAAGUCAGUGGUGAAAUCUCCGGGCUCAACCCGGAAACUGCCAUUGAUACUAUCUGUCUUGAAUAUCGUGGAGGUAAGCGGAAUAUGUCAUGUAGCGGUGAAAUGCUUAGAUAUGACAUAGAACACCAAUUGCGAAGGCAGCUUACUACCCGAAUAUUGACACUGAGGCACGAAAGCGUGGGGAUCAAACAGGA